GCAAGACUCUGCUGCACUUGAACCAAAUUGUAUUGUGUUGCUACCCCGAGAAUAAUCCUCAAUCCACUGGCUAUCUUCGUUGUUUUCAAUGCCAAGAAAAACCUCAGUUUCAACUAGGCUAUCGUAGCGUAACGGUACAUGAAUAUUGUCGUCAAACUCAAACUUAGGAAGAGCAUAUGGGUUUGUGACAGGAGGAAAUUGUUUGCUCCCUUCACCGGCUAAAUGAAGAUUCUGGCUUU
rnacentral:lncRNA from 1 species